UACGGGGGGGGCAAGCGUUGUUCGGAAUUACUGGGCGUAAAGGGCUCGUAGGUGGCCAACUAAGUCAGACGUGAAAUCCCUCGGCUUAACCGGGGAACUGCGUCUGAUACUGGAUGGCUUGAGUGUGGGAGAGGUGAGUGGAACUGCGAGUGUAGAGGUGAAAUUCGUAGAUAUUCGCAAGAACACCAGUGGCGAAGGCGGCUCACUGGCCCGAUACUGACGCUGAGGCACGAAAGCGUGGGGAGCAAACAGG
rnacentral:rRNA from 1 species